AACGAACGCUGGCGGCGCGCCUAAUACAUGCAAGUCGAGCGAGAAGACGUAGCAAUACGUUUGUAAAGCGGCGAACGGGUGAGGAAUACAUGGGUAACCUACCCUCGAGUGGGGAAUAACUAGCCGAAAGGUUAGCUAAUACCGCGUACGCUCCUUGGACUUCGGUUCAGGGAGGAAAGCGAUACCGUGGGUAUCGCGCUCUUGGAUGGGCUCAUGUCCUAUCAGCUUGUUGGUGAGGUAACGGCUCACCAAGGCUUCGACGGGUAGC
rnacentral:rRNA from 1 species